rnacentral:rRNA from 1 species
GACGAACGCUGGCGGCGUGCCUAACACAUGCAAGUCGAGCGGGGGGAGUUCUUCGGUACGAACCUAGCGGCGGACGGGUGCGUAACACGUGGGCAACCUUCCUUGAGGUGGGGGAUAACAGGAUGAACGUCCUGCUAAUACUGCAUAACCCGGUGCUGUCGCAUGAUGUCAUCGGCAAGGGAGCAAUCCGCCUCAUGAUGGGCCUGCGGCGCUUUAGCUAGUUGGUGGUGUAACGGCCUACCAAGGCGACGAUGCGUAGCCGACCUGAGAGGGUGAUCGGCCACAUUGGAACGGAGACACGGUCCAGACACCUACGGGAGGCAGCAGUGGGGAAUAUGGAACAAUGGGCGAAAGCCGAAUGCAGCAACGCCGCGUGAGCGAUGAAGGCCUUCGGGUUGUAAAGCUCUGUCUUCGCUGACGAAAUCUGACGGUAAGCGAGGAGAAAGCCACGGCUAACUACGUG